UCAAGUUCACCAGCUGAUAUGCUUAUCUCUCUCCUUCCCUCACAGCCAGUUUAUUAUAUGUGUGUGUAUGUGCAUAUAUAUAUAAUAUUGCAAGUUUAAUAUUUCUUGGUAGGAACAAUAGAGAGAAGUGUACCUAUUCCAUUUUAUGGAGCUCAAGGUCCUGAACUGCCUUUCAAGUUCAAUGGUUUUCAUUGGACACAAGAAAGAAAAAGGGGUACAUUUUUCAUACAAUUGUGUAAAAAUAAUUAGUUCUUUGAUAGUGAUGUGCCUGGACCUCAUACAGCACACAUCACUUUUGUAAGGUCUGGUAUUGGUAGAGAUUGGAAAUAUGAUGCUUACAGGGAUGGAAGGCAAGUAUCCAUCCUCACCUAAGCCUUACUGGUUAAAGAACUCUGGGGGUGGAGGCCCAGCAACCUGUUGUAAACAAACAAUCAGGUGAUUUAGAAUUGAGCUAAAAUUUGAGAGCCACUGAACCCUGGGGAUUAUCGAGGACUCCUAUAAUUUGGUAUGGCCUGCAGGGAGACAGUGCUCCAGAGCUCAUGUAUGAAUAUCCCUUGCUGCGAAUGUGUGCCUUUCUCUCAGAGACUUUUCCUGCGUUUCGCUUCCUUAAUUUUACAGGUGAAAAAGAGAAAAGAAAGUAGCCAUACCAAUGCUGAAGUUAUGAGUUACCUGCAAAAGUGGAAAGACAACUUAAAGCUAAGUACUUCCAUGAGACAAUUAUCAAUACAGUCUGAGUCUGCCUUAUGUGUUAAGCCCCAGGGAAAAAAAAGAAAAUUUAAAAUUUCUUUGCAUAAACUAUGCUUAAAAUCCACUACUGGAAUGAUUAUAUUUUAGAAAGAUGUUUAAAAUUCCACCAUUGAAAUUAUUUUCAAGGAACUGACAUCUUCUAGAAUGAAGAAGUAACACAUCAAACUGUCCUUUCCUUUGCAAUAGAAGAGGAAUAAAUGGAAAAUGAAUAGAUCUAAUCUCCUGUUUGAAGAAGAUCCAAGAGAUGCAAAGAGACCGUAAUGAGAAGGGAUGCUGAUGGGGACUUAUGUGGGAGUGAUCCAAAACAAACUUGGCUACCACACAAAUUUAUUUAGCACGUGUGGUAACUAAGAUGGUAUUAUGCCAUCGGUGUCCAUUAAUAUAUAGUGAUUCUGACCAAGUCGGUUAUUUUCAUCCUUUAAGAAUUAGCAGCACGUAUGGAAUUUAGCAACAAUCCCAUGAUUUUGUAAGCAGAGGAAAAUCUAGUUUUGAAGGAAAACUGUUCUCACUGUUUCACAAAGUACGAACUAUUCAUGGUAAGGGGCAUAGCUUCUCUAAUUCAGUUCAACAUUAUCUUUAUUAUUAUGUCUUGAGGAUAUCAUAAUUCUGGAUUGUCUUUUGACAUUGCACUUCAUCAUCAUCUACCUUAAAGACUGUGUAGUGUUUAAAGUCUCUUGGCCGUCUGGGGCAGAUAGACUCAUAUCUCACUUGCUCCCCUAAAAGGCACAAAAUCAAAUUACACCAAAAGGCUCCUUAGAGUACAGCUCUUUGCCAAUUACUUGAAUUAUUUUCAGCCACUUUGGCACGUUUCCCCUCCAGAUGAAAUGGAAAUCUUUUAGUCUGCACCAGUGAAGGAUUUCAUAUUUCUCAGCGCUUCCACAUACACAGGAUAAUGAGAAUAAAAGCUUCUUUGCCUCCCAGAUCUUUCCUACGGUGCCAUAAUGUAAGGGAAAUAACAUCCAUUUCUAACACAUGAAGCCCACGUAUUUUCUAAAGAAGAGAAAGACAUUAACAUUACACAGGAAAACUAUUUGCUCUUUGCUUUAAAUUUCCAAAUUUGAGCCCACCGGAGAUUUCAGACUUCAGAACUACAUCCAUCUGUGCUGAGACAUAGAACCUCUGAGGUGCUUCAUUAUUGGCACUUAAAGCUGGUUUCAUGAAACACCUGGUCUGAGUAAGCAAUGUGAUCAGAGAGUGUCAGCAGGGCAGACAGAUUUUCAAAGAAAGAUUGUUACCUACCCGAAAGCCAUUUUUGAAGCCAGAAACAGCAAUAUCAGCAAACUAGUAACAGUAGCUUAAACAUCCUCAAGUCUAGUAUUAACACAUCCCGUCCUCUCAAGAUUAGAUGACUUCUUUUAAAAGUUUUUGGGUCUCAGGAGGACAAAUUGAUUCUCUGAAUUUAUAGUUUUAUAAAAAUGUUUUUACUGAUGUUCUUAUCAUUUAUUAUUCCCAGUCACUCCUUUAUUUUUCCUUCUGAUUUGCAUUCCCCCCUGGCCCGACCAGUGCCUAGAGCAGCACUCACUGAAAUCACAACACAUUGCUCUGUAUUCUCCCCUCUUCCCAGCCCUUAGGAAUGAGUCCCUUGCCUAGAGCAUUAUGAACUGGGGGGGAGAAAAUCACUACUGGUUGCUUUGCUUGCAGUUCGCAUUUGGACUUGUGCUUGCAGAAAUUGAGCUGAACUUCCUUCAGUGUUACUGCAUCUGUGAGGUUCAUAUGUGGAUACCGUUGACCCCCGAGGGACAGCACUGGGAGAUGAUACGCAACUUUUAAGGGAUUAACAAUGAUGUGGCUCUCUUACAUCAAGAAGUGAGAAAAUUUUGGAGGUGAACAUGAUUUCAAAUUAAAUUAUAAUCAAAGGUUGAGUGAUCCAUUAAAUAAUAAUAGCCAAGAUAUGAAUAUCAACCUGGAUGUGCACUGAUGGAGGAAUUGACAUCUAUAUAAUAACAGAUUAUUAUUCAGCUUUAUGAAGGAAGGAAAUUUUGUUAUUGCAACUACAAGAAUGAGUCUGGGAUACAUUAUGCUAUGGCAUUGUUGUAAAUAAAACACAGCUCAGGUGGUUCAUUUGGGAGGACAGAAGGCAUUUGGAAGAGAUUCACUGUAUCUAACCCAAUAAAGUACAUUGUGAAGCACAUGAGACCCAGCAACUUCAAGAGAAGCAAAGCUACCAGCUAAGCCUAUCUUCUAUUAAACACAACAUAGCCAAGACAAAGAUUCACAAUUUUGUUUCUAUCUCUUGAGCUUUGUGUGGAUUGUUUUGCAGUAUAUUGGAACAAUGGCUAACUGAAACAUAGGCAAACUCUUUUUCUUUUAUGAACUCCCCCAAAGUAACAUUUAUACACAAUUCAUAUGAUAUAAGAGGGGUCCUCAACAAUAUUCAUGGAAAAUGUACAUCAGCUUUUAAUUAUCUUUUCUAUGAAAAUUUUUAUUUAUCCUCAUAUGUCUUUGUUAUACCAAGGGAAUCAAUUUGGA